GCCGCUCCGAGGGGGCUCCGCGGCACCGGCGGCGCCGCUUCCCCCCCGGGCGGCAGAGACGCCCCGAGGUGCGCGUGAAUCGGCGCUUCCCCCCUCGGGCGCUGCUGCUCCCUCAGGGGCGCUCCCCUCGCAGCCCCUGCCUCCCGUAGCGGGGGCCGUUCCCGGCGGGCGGGUCCGCGCGGUCCUCUUGGCCGGCUUCCAAAAAAAAAACCCCAAAGUAAUUAAUAUAGAAUGAUAAGGGUUUGGAAUGGAGCUUAAAGAUCAUCUAAUCCUAACCCACCCUCCAGCAGACCAGGUUGCUCAAGGCCUUAUCCACCCCGGCCUUGAACACUGCCGGGAUCGGGGCAUCCACAACCUGCCUGAGCAACCUUUUCUAGUGCUUCACUGCCCUCUGCUUAAAGAAUUUCUUCCUAAUAUCUGUGUUUUCCCUGAUUAUAUAUAUACUCUUUACUUCUUGUCAUAUUACCCAUUGUCCUGUCAUUAGAGUUCCUGACAAGAGUCCCUCUGCGGAUUGCCUGUAGAUAUGCUACAUUUGUUUUGUCCCCCAGAUCUUCAAGUCUGGGCCUGUACAUCACAUUUUUUUAUUUCUCAUUCUCGCAUUAUUCUUUUAUUUUUUUUCUUGAGUUUGUUUUUUUUUAAAUUAUUUUAAUUAUUUGAAAUUUUUGUUUCUUUCCCCCCCAAACUCUGUAGUUUUAAUAAUGAAAAAAAGCUCUUGUAAGAUGCACAGUGCAGACAAUGACUGCCACCUUGGAAACACUCUGAGAAAGGGAACUCCCUCGUCACAUCAAAUGACCCUUCAAAGCCACCUUGCUUACUGAAGAGCUCUGCGUUUUGUUAUGGACCCAAGUUAUCAGAAACUGUGUGUGCAACUGGUGUUUUGUCCCUUUUUCCAGGCAGCUCCUGGAGACCAGCAUUCAACAAAGAAAGGCAGUGCCCGAUGAAGUGCACUGCAGCUCAAAUACACAAAAAAAUCUCCACACGGCACAUGUCUACUGAAGAAAUGAGUUGGCCUUUUGAGAGGGGUGUGGGUAAGCACAUUCACAUACCAAGACUGUGAAACUGUCCAAGAAAAAAAAAUAAAUCAAGAAAAUGAAGCAGAUGGUGACAGAUGGUUCCUUUGUGGACAGAUCUCAUGUAAAACCACAGGAAAUUAAGACAGAGUUGUUCCCUUUAAUUCUAAAAGUUAAAGUCUGCCUUUCCUCUGUAGGACUUCAUACUGCAAAGGCAACCCCUGUCCUUUGCCUUCUGCAAAGGCAAGACACUGUCCCUUGCAGGGGUUAUAAUUCUUUACUUUGUACUCUGCCCCAAAAUAGUUCAAAACUUCUGACUUCAGAAAAUAGAUCUGAUAGCAAGCAGCCCUGUUUGACGCCUGGGAAAAGAGUUGGGGGCCAACAGAAGUGGCCCUACGCGUGUGAUCUCUGUGAGGAUUCUGUACUGCCGCAUUGUGUGACUUUAGGCAUGUCACUCUCUCUCUUGUCAGCCGAAUUUGCUUAGAUAGUACAUUUUUGGGAGUCAGUGACAGCCCCGAUCUUGGUCAGGCCUUCUAGACACCAACAGGAUAAAAGGUCUUGUGUUUGUGGGAAUAACAAACUGUUGAAGCACCACUUACUCUCUCUCCAAUUGGGUACCCUUGAGGAACAAAGUACAAGAGGAGAGUCAAAGAGAUGAGACUUGAAAGAUGGCUCUCUAUUUCAAACAUUAUGCGUUCUUGGGUAUCUGUGACUUUCUGAUUGAAUCACUGACAGACUAAGGAAUUACAAAAGGUCUUGCUUUAGUAGAGUUUAUCCUUAGAAUAUUACUAAUAUGGGCUUUUCCCUGGAAAACAAUCAAUCAAACCAAAAAACCCAAGAAACUUAAAUACAGCAGCUUAAAUUUAAUCAGGAAGGUAAGAUCUGCUCCGAGGCCAUCCUGCAGACCAGCUCUUCACUCCUCUCAGACAGCAGCCCUGUACAGGUGCCUUGAGGUGAUCCAGGUAAUUUAGGGAGUGCCCUGCCCAUACCUUUCCUGCUAGCACUCUUAGAAUAGGGGCAAGAGGACAGGCACCACAACUGCUUUACAGGCACUGCACAUCACAGCUGUCUCCUGAUGUAAACUGAAAUUGGUGGCAGCACAAUUAUGUCCUCAGCCACCCUGUGACUGCUGAGGUGCGUGGCCUUUCCACCUCCCCUGCUACAAGCAGGCAACGCAGACAGCGGGGCUUUGUAAUCCUUUGCAGCUCAAAGGGUGGAUUGCCAAAGAUUCUGUGGAAAUACCCUUCCACUGAAAAUCGAGAAGUCCAUGUGCCCAAGCAAGUCAGGCAAGUAAGGACAGCAGCAAGCACAGGCAAACUGGAUGCAGGGUCAGCAAGGCAAGCAGGCAGCAGCAGGGCACAUCCGCUGUGCUGGAGCUGGCUCUUUCCAAUGUUCAGAUGGAGGAACUCCUCUGUGAUGCAUAAUGAUAAAAGGGCAUAACCAAAGGGCAUAACCACAGGAAAGAAACCAGCGUGAUUCUAUGGGUUUUGCUUUUUUGCCUCUGUUUUAGCAGUCCAAUAAGAGGAAGGAUCAUGUGUUGGUGAAGCAUUGGGGUACAGGAGGAGUCAGGAGUCCUGACUACUUUGAGUCCCUUCUACUUUGUGUAUGCAGUCGACUUGGUCAACUUUUCUGCCAAGUGUUGGAUAAAUGAGGAUCAGCUCCUCUCUUUGAUACACCUGACCAGGAGAUGUCAAUUACCUUUUUACCAGUUAUGACUGCUGGCCAGAAUGCUCUAGUAUUAGGCACAGCUCAAUAUAAGUACAUAUCAUGUCCUGUUCUGAAAGGUUCAUAAGUCUGGGUUUGCCCAACAGCUGGUAUUUAUGUCACAUUCAAAUGAUUGAUUGGUUUUUCCCCUGGCUCUUAUCUGUGAUGACCAAACACAAAUGAAUGGAGGGUCUAGUACAACUGGUACAUGCUGGACAUCACUUCAGGGUGAUUGUGUGAUGGGCAAAUAAAUAAGAAGACGUGCUGAACGAUGAUUCUGGUAGAAGUUGCACUAUAUGUGAUGACAGGGGUAAAACCUACCAGUUUUGUAGAAGUGAGGCCAUAUACUUGAAAUGCAGGGUGGUCAAAUAUAAAACAGAAAAAUUAUAUUUUCUCUUUGGCAUGUAUUAAGAAAUGCUGUUAUGAUAGUAUUCAUUUCACAUUUGCAGCGAGAGGAAAUGAGAGUUGUGGUCAGCAGUAGCUGUCUGGAACAAGGGACCCUGCAAAAGCAUAACCACAGGCUAAGUCUGAUCAGCUUGCAGAUAAAUCCCAAGCAAGUGCUACAGGCAUACACAUCUGAAAAGAAAUCUUUUCCACAUCCAAAGAUCAAGGAAAAAAAGAGAAAAUGCUGUUUAAGUGGAAUGCUAGCAACAUAGGAAGUUUAAAAUGCUAUUCUGGUUUUGGGGUCUAAUCCUGUACUCAGGUGCACAAAUCUUAUUUACAUUGUCUCCUUUGCAGAACUGUUAUUUGAAUUUGGACAUCCAGGAACAAAAUCAUUCAUCAUCAGUACUUUGGCAAUUCAUGGGGGAAAUUGAUUAAGUAUGCAACUAAUAUUUCAUUCCUUAUUUAAAAAACAUGACAUAUGACACAAGUAGAAUUUGGCCAUUCUGUAUUCCCUUAGAGGAGAAUUGUGCCAGGUAUCUAUGAGCAGACUGAGCUGCAGAUUGUUUCAUGGCCAUUAAGUACUAGUUGAAAGCUGACUCUGUACUGAGACGUGCUUAAUAGGAAUAAAAGGUCUGUUAUACUAAAUCAGAUUAGUAGUCCAGCCAAUGUGAUAUCCUGUCUCCAGCAGUGGCCAGCAUCAAAUGCUUCAGAGAAGGACACACAGACCCCCACAGUGGACAAUCACGUUACAAUCAUCUUAUUUGCUAAGUUUCCAGUGCUGCCAAGGCUGCCAGAGAGGCUGGUUUAUGCCCUGGAGCACAAAACUUCAUGUCAUUUAUAGCCUUAAUGGCAGCAUAACCCACUGUUAACAUGUGAAACUGAUUGAUUGCCAUUUUUCAGAAGAGCAGCACUCUCUCCUGAGUGUUGUUACUGUUGGGAUUGGAGACCAUGUUGAGCCUGCAUCCCAUGAGUGACAUUAGAAGAUUUCAGCCCAGUACUCUCCUCCAGUGUUUUCCCUUUGAGGCAGGCUGUGAACAGGAGCAUCUUCAGGAGAGCAUGGUGUUUUCUGCUCCCCACUCUGCUCAGCUGGAAAGUUAGCCAUGAUUUGAUGCUCAGGGCUGUUCCCUGCUAACCCACCCAGACCCUGGUGUUGUUCAUGCUCCGGAGUGAUGAGAUCCAGUGCCUGGGAGGCUGAAGACAUUUAUGCUGAACCUUCAGCAUGAAAGUAGUACCACCAUGGCUGGAGUUAGUGGGCACAGGCUGAAGGAAUUACCUAGCAGAAGCAGAACUGGUUACAUACUUAAGCAGGUGCAGAAACUUUGGCAGGAUCAAGGCUUAAAUAGCAAUUACCUCAAGGCAAGAAAAUGUUCUUCUUCUGUUUCCUUUGUAGCACAACACUUUCUAUUGUCACUUAAUUAACUCGGUUUUCAAACUGAUGAAUGAUGGAGUAACGUUGGAAGCUUUACAAUCAUGGCAUCACUUGAAACGCCUCAGUGCUCUCCCAAGAGAGAAAGAUCCUUAUGUAGGACACCAAGGACACAGUGAGGGAGCUGGUUGUUAUAGGUUUGUUGAAAAAGAACAAGAAGAAGACAUGAAAGCUUGAAGAAAAUAUUCCUAGAUCUCUUUUUCUUCACAGCUUUAAUAUGGUAUGUGAUGUGUGUAUGCUUCCUAAUUCACUGCUGCAGAUUUCUCUGUAGAUGCAGCAAGAAGCAGUUCUUAAGCAGAGACUGGUUACAUGGAAUAUUAGAGUAUUUCAAGGGUAUUAAAAAUACCACUAUAUAAAGAUCUUGUUCACUCACCCUGCCCUUUCUGUGACAAAUGACUGCAGUAAAAGUGAACUCCUGCUUUUCCUUAUUUAUGAAACACCUCUUCCCUUUUGUAUGAAAAACUAAUAUUCCUGUGCUUUAGAAAGUGUGUAAGUGGCAGUUGAGAGAGAGAGUGAAAGCUGUACAUUAGAGUGGUGGAACAAGGCAAACGCUGAAAAACAAAAAGCUAUUCAGAUUUUCUUUUUCCCCUAAAACAAAAGAAAUGAAAACUCUCAUCAGACUGAAUUGUUCCACUCCUGAUUACUGUGUGUAGCAUGAUGAAACAAAAAAUGCAUUUCCAUUUUAGCUUUUGCAGGCAAUAUAUGCCUGCAAACCUCUUGAUAAAGAACUGAUUUUCAAAGCAGCACAUUCCUGUAGGCUGUCAGUGAUCCAGCAGAGCUCUCACGCUGCUUUGACUUUUCCUCCUCCCAAGAGUAUCAGGCCUUUACAAUUCUUUCUAGGAUCCAAGCAAAUUUAAUAAUAUAGGCAAACUUCUCCACAGAUUGAUUUUGGAUUUACAAGGCUCCUGGCUGUUUGCUUGCAGAGACAUAACCAAGAGGCAGAACCCACAUACCAGUCUUGAAAAAAAAAACCCUCAUUUGCACAAAAUAGAUUUUACUCUUCAACAUCUUCACAACUGAAACUGGCAAUGUGUCACACUUAGCCAUAAACAUUUUUUCAGGAAGGAACUGGUCUCAAAUAAGCCAGUUUAAAUAAGAUCAGCAAAGCCAUCUCCAGUAAUACCAUCUGGUGACUCUUAAUCACAUUUGAGUGUAGAAUAUUGAAAAUAUGAGUCAGGCUAGAAAAGACAUGAGAAAAACAGUGUGAGCAGGGAAGUGCAAGAGUAUUAACUAAGAGUAGCUUGCAGGCAGUAGGUUGGAGAAGAGCAAUAAAGAGGAACAUUUAGCAAAGCAAUUCAUAAACUCAGGGACUAAGGCAAUACUUUCUCAUUAAAAUGCAGCCAUUUACCCUGCCUAUUCUAACACCUGGUUUUGGCUUAGUCCUUAUGUGCCACCCAGGUACUGAGACAGGUGCAGAGGUGAAAGAUCAGUGCAGAGUUGAGCAUUAUGUGUUUGCUGUGGUCUCACCAGCACUGGACUGUCCCUCCCCUGCCUGGUGAGCCACAGCAGCAACAUGUGCCUCCUGAAAGUACAUGAGAAUCCAUGAGCCACCGUUGUGUCAACUGCAUUUUCUAAGCCACUGGCAAUAUUUUGUAGAAUUUGAACUUUUGUGUGUGAAGUGGUGAGAUUUUUUUUCUGUUCCACAUUUGUUUUUUCUUUUCUGCAGUUGAAUACUUAAAUAAAUAACAGCCUGUAGCAGCUUGUGUCAAGAGUAACAAGAAGGUGGCUGGCACCUGUACUAAUUUGAAGAAACAAUUUAAAGAAUUUGGUUAUGAAUUCUAAUGCGAAACAAUUUUUUUUCUUCUUUUUUGUGCUGCCAGCAUGUAUUGUUAGAUUCAGUUUCAUUUCACUAUC